AGGUGCGGGCCGCGCUCCGCGGCCGCUUCCCUCGGGGCCCGAGUGCCGAUCCGAGCGGGGCCCCGCGACCGCCGCUCUUUGUGGCGCCGGAGCGUCUUCAGAAGUGGGUGUUUUUUUUUUUGAGCCGCCAGUUUGGGAAUGGCGGGGAACGUCGCCGUGAACGGCGGGGCAAGGGGAGCGCAGGGGCUGCGGAAAGAGCGAAGCUUGUGUGACACAGGCGUUGGGUUCGGGACGCUGAGUUGUUUCCAGAUACAGGGCUCUUCGAAGACAGUGCUCGAAAACCCACCUUUUUUUGCAGCCCUUUUUGUAGUUCCGUGCAGAGAGCGGGUCAGGAGCUGUCAGAGAUCAUCAUUCAGAGCCCGAGGCGGGGGGUUGCCUACAUACGAUUUUGGGUGACAGCCUGGAUCUCCAUUCCAUAACAACAUCCACGGCAGUGAGACCAGGCCGGUGUCAUGCAGUGCUGAGCAGGUGGCAGAGGCUGGGUCCUCACAGCCGGCCAGGAGCCUCCUUCACCAAGGGAACGGGAGCCUGCUGCCUGCUAUUGAUACGUGGAGCAUUAAGCUGUGAGCAAAGCUCACUGGAGGAGACCGAGCAUGGAAUGAUUUGGGUUGGAAGAGCCCUAACUCACCUCACUCUUAGGUGAAGAUGUCUCAGCAGUACAUGAGGGAUGUGACUUCCACAUCAGUUGCUGCCAUCUCAUCUACCUGCACCUUCCCAGAGGAGUUCUUGUUUUGCUAGACAACAGAUGCAACAGUUUGACUGAGCUUCCCUGGCUGAAUGGGCAUUUUGUCAAGCACAAGUUCCCUCAGUUUCCAGAGAGGAAGUUUUCCAACUGAGCCUUGAAGGAACACUGCACUCAUCAGUGUCCCCCACUGCCUUCCUGUGUGACCCGCAGGCAGUGAGGGGGAGAGUGAUCUCUUGAGACCUCAUGUCAAUCUGAGAUGCCUCUGAAUAUCUUUGUUUUCUUUUUGACAAAAAAUAUUUGACCCACUUAAGAUGAAUCUUGUUUACUUGCAUGAAUAGAUUUACUAAUGUUAGCAGCAGUAAGAUAAGCAGACUGGCACUAUUCACAGCACCCUGCAUCUGAAAUUUUACAUGUAUUAGAAGUUAAGACAGACUUCUUCAAAAGGAUUUUUUUUCCAUAAAGAAAAGAAAACCCUUAUCUGUCAUGAAUGGCAGCAGAGACCAACGUGAAACAAUUAUUCCUAAAACACAAUGAGGAGCAUACAGAAGGACCUGCAGGAUCUGCACAUACAUUGAAAGGAGAGGAGCUGCACAGCUCCAACUUGUGCACUGAGUUGUCAGAGCACUGCUGCUGGCACUUGAGGCUUCUAAAGAUAUGGUCUGUCAACAAGAUUCUGAGUCCCUGUUUGGAUGCAAUCAAGCUAGAUUUUCAUCUUUAGCAAGCUGUGUUAAUGUACCUGAUGUUCUCUUGACGCUUGUCCUGAUCUCUAAGUUUUCUAGCUUGUAAUUUCUGUUUCUAGGCUCAUCCUUUCUGUGGUCCUCAAAAUCAGGGAAGGAAAUCCCUUUUUAAUGUUGUUGCCAUUAAAGUCCCCUGAGCCAAUUGAUCUUAUUCAGGACUUCAGCCAAAUUUUGCCCAAGAAUGUGAGGAAACUUCCUGGGUCAGAUGUGAGAUGGAAAUACAAGUGAAAUCUGGGUAUCUUUUGUUUGGUGUCUGAUGCUCUUUUUCAUACCCAGCAGUCAGGAUGUGUGGCCCAGUGAGCACACUGAAACCAGAAGAUGCGUUGCCAAGCCAGGAGUUCUCACUUGUUUCUAACAACUCCUAAACCCCAAGGUUUACAUUCGGGAGCCAAAGGAAUGCUUACCCUUUUCUGUAAGAGAAGCAGCGUUCAGAAGAUUGAUUAUAAUAAUAAACUAGGGAUUGUGUUUCUGAGAUUUUACAUGUAAACACAAUCUUAAGUGUAAUUGGUUUCAAUGACUUCCAUUUAAUUCUUGAACAAAGUUUCCUUUUAAAUUCCACACCAGAUUGGACAUGGCCAAAGAUAAAUUGAAUGCAAUCAGAUCUACAAUUUGCUUUGAUGAUAUGCUACAUUAUUUCUUACAACAAACUGUUUAUUAUACAAAGCUAAUGGUGUUACUCAUGCAUUUAACAAAUCUAAUAUAUUUGAAACUAUGACAAAAUGAUAAGUUCCAAAUUUAAGUCUGGAAAAACAAAACAAAAAAAAAAAAAAACAUGUUUUAUUAAAGAGUUUCAUCUAUAGUUACAUCCUUGUCAAUGCCCAAGUCAUCACUUUCACAAAGAAUUCUUAAACUAAGAAUUUAAUGUGCAUUUCUCAUCAUUAUACAAAUCAGAAAUCUUAAUUACACUGCCUCUUCACGAUAACUUUAAUUUACAUUCGCUUAAUGAAUGUAUAUUCUUAAGAAGCAUGUCUGAAUUUAAAUGUUUUUAUGGUGUUGUUAACAUAAUACUCCUUAAAACUGUUAAUAAGACCUCUAAAAAGACUUGCUCUCAUCUACGCUGAGCCAGCUGUUGCACUGGGCUGCCAUGGAAUUAUUUGAAUACUCAUGAAAUUUACUGAAAAUUAGCGUUGUCUUCAUCAUCAUCCUUUCCAACAACAGCAACCACAAAAUGAUGUAACAAUGACAAAAAAAAAAAUCUGUAAAACUAGACCCUCGUGGCUGUGACAAGAAUUCUUCAGUGCAUUUUCUGGAAAUUUGUAAAAUCAAGAUGAUCUUCUAAUAUUUAACCCAAACAAUUCUUACUUACCCCCCCACUCCUCUUGCUGAUAUUUAUCAUGAUUUCAUCAUGGCAACUACAAAUUAAUGAAGAGAGAAUAUAGUCCCUGAAAAUACAAAUAUUUGAUUGCAGGAAUUGUUAGCCCUUGAAAUGCAGUGCUGCUUACCACUGAGCUAAUCCAACUACUCUGUGUUCUGAAUUACCACUUCAACCCUUGCCUUGUCUUGUUCAUGCAGCUGAGGAACGCAAAUGCCAUGCCUUACAAAUAAAAACCAAAAACAGCAGCAGAACAGCUGCCAUCAUCCAUUGGCCUAAAACAUAAGGGCCUAGACUUUAGGAAAAAUGGCUUGCCCAAAUUAUACCACUUCUGCAAUAUAUUAGGGAUAAUUGAUGAAUGCCAGACUUUGCUAUUUGGAUGUCUGUUGAAAUUCCAUGGUGGCAAAAGCAGGACACACACAACAUUUCCAACAUGGUGGGAAGUCUUCUGUUACAGCUAACAAUGGAAAGCCUACUGAGAUUUCUAAUUUGCCACCUGCAGUGACAUGCCAGGCGCUGUGCUCCUGCCUGGCCCACCCCCAAGCUCUUUGCUCUCACAGCUCUUCCCAGCUCCAGCUGCGCCUGGCUGCAGUCCCCAGGCUGGUCUCACUCUCUGCUGCAAUGCCUUAACGUUUCUUCUUCCUUCCAUUUACCCAAUUCCUCAGGGACUUUUUGCUUGUCGCAGUAUCCCUACUACUCCCACUGUCUCUUUUUCUGAACUCAAUGUUUUUGUUUCCUAUUUUGUAGGGGAUUUUUCUUCUUGGUGGUUCAGUUUCAUUGAAGAUGAUAGGAAGAGGUGAUCCCUACAGAUAGUUUAGAAAAUCUACCGAUGAUUCAAAAUAAGCACUUAAAAAACACUCCAAAUGCCAUAUUCUCACUGUGAAAUCUUAAAAACAUGGAUUGUCCCUUCUGCCAAGCGCUAAGUAGAAAUGGGCUUGUAAGGGCACCUUGCCAUUUUUCUUUGAAAAGAAUUAAUGGAAUAGACAUCCAAAUCAGCCUUCUUACUCUGCCGCACAUAUCAUGUGUUCAUAAAUCUGUUCACCUUGAAUAAAAACAGCAAACACACAGAAGAUUUGGCGCACGUGAUCCUUCUUGCAGCACCACAGCUAAGACAUUGUUGUGUUUGGGGCCCUUUAUUCCAAAGCACUGUCUCGUUAUUGUCUUUUUAAGCUGUCUGGUUUCUAAGUUCUCAGAAUUUAGAAGAUCAGAAGAAUGUUUCCAUUGUCCAGAUACCAGCCUGCUUCGUGUCAGCCUGUUGGCCUGACCGGCAUUUCCUUGAGGUCCAUGAUCUGCAGAAAAGGGACCUAGCAGGUUGAGUAUGACUGGGCCAGAAGGCCUGGGGCAGCAGGCUGCACUGCGCAGCCACAUACCUCAGCAUGUGUUCAUCACCCCACGUGUCAGAAAGUUACAGAAUAUCCCGAGUUGGAAGGGUCCCUCAAGACUCAUUGAGUCCAGCUCCCAGCUGGACCACAAAGGACCACUCAAAAUUCAAACCCUAUGUAGCCCCAUGUAUUGCGCACAGCGACAUCUCCUUCAUCUUUUUUCCCACGUGGAAGGAUCUAGCAAACAGAGUCUUCUUCCUUCAGUGGAAGAGGACUGGAUACAACUUAUGCUCUGCUCUUCCUGAAUACCUCCUGCAGCAGGGAGGCUGCUUGGUGCCCACACUAGUAAAUGUGUCAGCGGAGGCCAUGGUCACUUCUGGGGCCUGCUGGCUCUUGUACAUGUCUGACAAAAACAUGUAACUAAUGAUGGUGACUAUUUUGAAAAAGUAAUAUUUUGUAGCGGAGAAUUUGCU